AGAGUUUGAUCCUGGCUCAGGAUGAACGCUGGCGGUAUGCCUGAGAUAUGCAAGUCGAACGACGUUUUGCCGAAACUUAGGUUUUGGUAAAACGAGUGGCGGACGGCUGAGUAACACGUAGGAAUCUGCCCCUUACUGGGGAAUAGCUUCGGGAAACCGGAGGUAAUACCCCAUGGUCCCAGCCUAGCUGGGUAAAGAUUUAUCGGUAAGGGAUGAGCCUGCGUCCUAUCAGGUAGUUGGUGAGGUAAUGGCUCACCAAGCUUAUGACGGGUAGCUGGCCUCAUGAGGGUGGUCAGCCAGAGGGGGACUGAGACACGGCCCCCACUCCUACGGGAGGCAGCAAUCAGGAAUAGUCGGCAAUGGGCGAAAGCCUGACCGCGCAAUACCGCGUGUAGGAUGACACUCGAAAGAGCGUAAACUACUGUGGCGAGAGAAGAAGGUCUUCGGACUUGACGGUAUCUCGCUAGAAAGGGGCCGCUAACUUCGUGCCAGAAGCGUCGGUAAUACGAGGGCCCCAAGCGUUAUCCGGUGUUACUGGGCGUAAAGAGUCGUGUAGGCGGCUCUGUAAGUUAUCUUUUAAAGCUUCCGGCUCAACCGG
rnacentral:rRNA from 1 species